CCUACGGGAGGCAGCAGUAGGGAAUAUUGCUCAAUGGGGGAAACCCUGAAGCAGCAACGCCGCGUGGAGGAUGAAGGUUUUCGGAUUGUAAACUCCUUUUGUUAGGGAAGAUAAUGACGGUAUCUAACGAAUAAGCACCGGCUAACUCCGUGCCAGCAGCCGCGGUAAUACGGAGGGUGCAAGCGUUACUCGGAAUCACUGGGCGUAAAGAGCGCGUAGGCGGGAUAGCAAGUCAGAUGUGAAAUCCUAUGGCUUAACCAUAGAACUGCAGUUGAAACUGUUAUUCUAGAGUAUGGGAGAGGUAGGUGGAAUUCUUGGUGUAGGGGUAAAAUGCGUAGAGAUCAAGAGGAAUACUCAUUGCGAAGGCGACCUGCUAGAACAUAACUGACGCUGAUGCGCGAAAGCGUGGGGAGCAAACAGGAUUAGAUACCCGAGUAGUC
rnacentral:rRNA from 1 species